ACUGUUCUCAAUCUAACUAAAAUUCAUCAAGCACAAAACAGAUUUUUUUUUCUCCUAAAAAAGUAAUUAAAACUACCUGAGCAAUUUGGACAGUAAUUGAAAGAAGUAACAAUAUUUGCUUUGUUUUUUAUAGAUAUAGUCACUGUCCAUAUGGAUCUAAUUACUAAGGAUUAGUAUAAUGUCUCCUAGUUCACUAAUAGGUAGCUGCUUUUGGAUAACACCAACAGACAUUGUAUUUCAUGAACAAUAAAUUCUAUGUCUACCAUCCCUCAAAGGAUGGACUGGAGGUUCUGUGUGUGUGUGUGUGUGUGUGUGUGUGUGUGUGUGUGUGUGUAUAUACACACCUGUGUAUGUAUAUACCCAGAGGCCAGAAGUCAACCUCAGGGAGUAUCACUCCUUAGGUACUGGUCUUUUGUUUUUUUCUUUUUCUUUGUUGGUUUGUUUUAAAUUUUUUGUUGUUUUUGAGAUGAUCUCUCUCUCCCUAGCCUAGAGCUCAGUAAAGAGCUAGCGGAUACUCCUCAAGGCCUACUUGGUUUUGAUAGCCUUGUGUGAGGAUUACAAUCAUGUACUACUAUCUCUGGCUUUUAAACACACAUGGGUUCUGGGAAUUGAACUUGGGGCUUUGCACUUGCAUGGCAAAUACUUUACUGAUUGGACCAUUUUCCUAGCCUAAAGGAGUGAACUUUAUGAUAUGUCAAUAAAGUUGUUCUUAAAAAUAUAUAAUUUAGGGGUUGGGGAUUUAGCUCAGUGGUAGAGCGCUUGCCUAGCAAGUGCAAGGCCCUGGAUUUGGUCCCCAGCUCCGAAAAAAAGAAAUAAGAAAAAGAAAAAAAUAUAUAUAUAAUUUACUCUUCUGAACACGGUAUUCUUAUAGAAAGCCAGGAAGCCAGCUUUAACACCUAUAAAACCAUCCCGCUUCUGUCUUCCCUGUGCUAAACACACCCAGCAUCUUCAACCACUUUUUAGCUUGUAGUGUCCUUCAUUAUCCCUGCAAGAGAUGGGCACAAAGUCCUAACUUUUUCAUAGGAAGUUCAAUAAUAGAUUCUAAGAACCUGGGAGUUGAUAAAGGAAUGGGACAGAGAAACUAUGCAGUUUUCUAGAUUUUAAUGAUUUGUCUAAACAUAAUUCACUCAAUAAUAUAUUCAUCAUGACAAAAGAUACUCCAGAGACAAUAGAGAAAACACGAACUGCAGCCUAUAAUAAUGGGAAGAAAACUGGAUUUCUGAGGUUUUAAGAAUACAAAAGCAAGGUAUAAUAUAAAAUAUAAAAGUCUUAGCAAUUAAAACUGAAUGUCAUUUUAAAAUAUACUGUCAUGUAAACAUUAAAACAACAUUACCUCGAAAUUACAUUCAACACAUCAAGGUCAAAGUCCUUUGACAUCUGCUCUUGUGAAUAGGACAUAAUGGCUACCACAAAUACAACUCCUUAUUUAAUGCAUGCCUUGCUCAAAGUCUAUGAUGUAAUAAAUAUUUGUGCAUCUCAGUAACCAUGAACCUAUGAGAUAUCAAGUAAUGAAAAGACAGAGAGGAACCUCAAUGCAUACUAUUAAGGAAAGAAGCCACUCUGACAGGCUGCAUACUGUAUGACUCCAAGUCUGAGGCACUAUAGAAAUGGGGAAGCUACAGAGAUACAAGGCAGACUGAUGCCAGAAUUUCCACAGCAGGGCUGCUAUUCUGUAUGUGUAAGGGUGGGUACAUGUCAAAAGCACAGAGCGUACAACACUAAGAAUGAAUGCUCAUGUGAACUACGGGUCUCAGGUAGGGAUUAUGUGUCAGUACAGAUUUAUCAAAGGGAGGGAUGAUAAAGGUGGAAAACAUAAAAACUAAAGGGAAAACAGACAUCCUGUAGUAUCAGGAUGUAAAAGAACGAACUCAUGGGAUAGCAGACACGUGAAAGGCACCGCAGACUCACGCUGUACUAAGUUUUCCACAGCUAAAGCAGUUUAGAAACUAAGUGGAGAACAAUAUUAACUCAAGCUGUGGGAUAGAUGCACCUGAGUCCACUCUGAUGAAAACGACAGACUAAAUAAAAAUGAAUGGACCUAUUGUACAGAACCAGAUAUCUAGAUAUCCCUGGUGAGUUUCACUUCCUGCACCCCAAGCGCUCACCCAAGUGGAGGUGGAGUUAGGGAUGCUCGUAUAAAGCAGAGUUGAGAAAGAAGCUGGUACAUUGUCCCUGAAGAGAUCCGACAAUCAGUACUUCUCUGACAGUGCAGCCAACAGCUCCACAUACGACAUACACUCUCUCAGAGAACACAGUGAGAAAGCACUUCGUCUCUGUGCUAAUCUUUUCAAAAACCUGCAUGAUCUGGGUCUAAUCUGGAGAAAAACAUCAGGUGAAUUAAGAUUAGGUUCCAUCCUACAGGUCAUGAAAAACAAAGAAUGGGACAGAGCAACAGACAAGGAGAGUCUGGGGCACGGGACAACCGCAUCUCAGAUUCUUCAGCUGGAUCCCGGAAAGGAGAUAUGAUUAGCAGAGAAGCCAGCGGAACCCAAAUGGAGCGUGGAAUCUGCUUAACGGCUGCUCGCUAACGCUGUGCUCUUCGUUUUGACAAAUGCAUCACAGUAAUGAAAGCUGCUACAAAUGUGUAUCUUGGUACACACUGGACUUCUACAGUAAAAAUAAUCUUCCUCAGAAUUAGGGUCUGUCUGCAUUCCAGAACACCCACUAACAAGAACACCCAUGCUCAGUCCUGAGAGAGGUUUCAACCUGGCGACUAUUUGCAGUACAGGAAAGGAAGUUUGAGUUCAGAGUGUAAACUGUCUGCUUUCCUGCUGAGCGUCUGAGGAAGAACAAGACAAAUAAAAGAAAAAGGGGCCUGCUACUCUUAAGAUCAGAUGGUGAGGCUUGAGGACAUGGGGUUGAAUAAAAAUAAAGUCAAUCAAAACAUAAACUAUGUCUUUCCCACAUGCAAUUACUGUAACAGUGUGCAGUGAUUUAAAUGAGAGUAGUCCCUCACAGGCUUAUUUAGACAUUUCGUCCCGCUGUAGUGCUACUCGGGGAGGUCUGGAACCUUUAGGAGGUAUAGUCUUGCUGGAGGAAGUGCAUCACUGAGAUGGGCUUGAAGGGUUCACAGCCUCAUCCCAUCUCAUCCCCACUUCUGCUUCCUGUGAGUGGAUAAAAAGAGGAGCACCCAGCUCCCUGACCACCAUGCCAUGCCUCACCUAUGAGGAUGGACUCCAUCCCUCUGGGAAUGUAAGCUAACCAAACCCUCUCUUCUUCACUGCUUCUUGUAAGGGUAUUUUAUAACAGCAACAUAAAGGUAAUUAAUACAGUGCUAUAACUAUAUCCAUGUGUGCAAAAUAAUCAGAACGUAGUAGUAUUCAAUGAAGCUGUAUUGGUGACAGUGAAAGAGUGGAAACAAUUAAAAUCCCACCAGUAAAGAAUAACUCCGAUGUGCUGCAGUACCUGUGGCAAUGCUCUGAAUAGCAAUCUCGCCCUCAGAGGACUGAGGCGGAUUCUUGUGAAGAGAGUGUGAACUACUGAUUAAUGAAGAGAGUAGAUACAGUGCAUUGGAAAUAGUAUUAUUUGGUAGUAACAUAUAAAAAUGACACGUUUAUUCUUGUAUGAGAGCAGAAUCCCCUGCAUUAGCAUAUAAGAAUACUCAGUAUCACGCUCGCCCUGGAGGUGUGGCUAAGGGAGAGCUGGUGAGCCAUCAGCUCAGCUACCACCCAGGCCCAAAUCGAGGGCUUUGAGUUGGUGCAGCCCAACAUCUGCAUCAUCUGUGAUCUGUCCUGGUGCAUGAAAGCACAGGUCCUGCUGACCUAAAGCUACAGGAUCUCCAAGACAAAGGCAGCAGGAUAACCCGGAGGAGUCCUGUGAGGAUCCAAUAUUGAUGGUGUCACAGAAGCCAGAGACCUCAAACCAGACCAAUGACUCACUGCAAUGAACAUUCGCAGGUGAAGAUGUGUGGACGGAGGGGUAUAGUGUGGGGUACACUGUGACACACUACAGCUUCCAUGAUGAGAUGUUUUCUAUGCUUUGUGUGUGUGUGUGUUUUUAUGGGGGGGGCAGGUUGUAAGGGCAGGGGGUAGACAUGAGGAGAUGGAGAAAUGAGUGGGAUGGGAAACAUGAUGUGAAACUCACAAUCAGUAAAAAGUUAAAAAAAAAACAAAACAAAACACUCAGUAUAUCAUCAUCAUCACCACCACCAUCUUUGUCAUUCCACUGUGUGGUUCUCAAGUAUGAACUUUAUAGAUGACAUCAUUUCCCAAUGUCCAUCUGUAACUCCAAUUCAGGGGAUUUAGUGUCCUCCUCAGGCACCAGGCGUAUAAGUGGUGCAAGCAAGGGUAUGGGCAGGCAGAAUGUCCAUAUAUACAAAUUCAAAAAGAAAUCAAGUGGAGCCCAAAUGAGAUGGGGCAUAGAAAUAUAAUCAUAACAUGUUAUAACCACAACAUUCCUAUGUCCAAUAAUGUCUUUUUGAAGUGGAAACUUUAAGGUUCUUUGGAGAGUCAGUUGUGUCAGAUGGUCUUUUGCUGGGGCAAACACGUAAAGGAGUGUUUUCCUGAAGUGGACAAGUGAAACACUAAGGCAGACUCGUGAAGUAAGUUUCACUGAACCAGACACAGGAGAAAGGAUGUUCUGCUAAAGCAAGCACCUGAAAGGACACGUGAUGAAGGAUUUUUGCUAACACUACUAUUGUUUGGUUACAUUACAUAGUUGAACUACAUUUAUUGGAACUCCACAGAGAAAAACACACCAAAACCUUCUGGUGGCAUGCUGCAGUUUCUUGCCACUUUUGUAGACUCGGGCUGACUGGCAGAAUCAGUCUGCUGAGACACACAAAGGUGCUGAGGCAAAACCCAUGGAGGACACGUGGGCUUUGGAGGGAGUAUAGAUAGGACUCAAUGGACAGUGAUGGAGGCUGAGCCUGGCUGUGCAACACGUGUGGUCUUGGGUCUUUGCUGACCUCCACUUCCCUGAGAGGGACACCGCUGAGAACUUCUCUUGGCGUUCCACUGGGUCCCUCCUGCUGACUCGUGCGGAGGCUGAAGCCUGGCUGUCUCUGCAAAGUAGUGCCACCAUUGCUGAUUCCUGUUUGCUACCCCAAAUCUACUGGAUUGGACUGCUGGUGUAUCCGUGAAGUGUUUGUGAGUGGAUCGAGCUGCUGCUGCUGACUUAUGAACUGAACUUGCAGAUUUCCAGACAACAAAGAAGGGAGUUGCUCCUUCCCCAUAUCCUUUGUUUUCCACUGCCUCUGGUGGGUGGUGGACUACAAGGGAGGUUAAAGCAAUUAAGAACCAUCAUUAAAAUUAAGGUUUGAAAAAAAAA